CGAAUGCUGACAUAAGUAACGAUAAAGCGGGUGAAAAGCCCGCUCGCCGGAAGACCAAGGGUUCCUGUCCAACGUUAAUCGGGGCAGGGUGAGUCGACCCCUAAGGCGAGGCCGAAAGGCGUAGUCGAUGGGAAACAGGUUAAUAUUCCUGUACUUGGUGUUACUGCGAAGGGGGGACGGAGAAGGCUAUGUUGGCCGGGCGACGGUUGUCCCGGUUUAAGCGUGUAGGCUGGUUUUCCAGGCAAAUCCGGAAAAUCAAGGCUGAGGCGUGAUGACGAGGCACUACGGUGCUGAAGCAACAAAUGCCCUGCUUCCAGGAAAAGCCUCUAAGCAUCAGGUAACAUCAAAUCGUACCCCAAACCGACACAGGUGGUCAGGUAGAGAAUACCAAGGCGCUUGAGAGAACUCGGGUGAAGGAACUAGGCAAAAUGGUGCCGUAACUUCGGGAGAAGGCACGCUGAUAUGUAGGUGAAGCGACUUGCUCGUGGAGCUGAAAUCAGUCGAAGAUACCAGCUGGCUGCAACUGUUUAUUAAAAACACAGCACUGUGCAAACACGAAAGUGGACGUAUACGGUGUGACGCCUGCCCGGUGCCGGAAGGUUAAUUGAUGGGGUCAGCGCAAGCGAAGCUCUUGAUCGAAGCCCCGGUAAACGGCGGCCGUAACUAUAACGGUCCUAAGGUAGCGAAAUUCCUUGUCGGGUAAGUUCCGACCUGCACGAAUGGCGUAAUGAUGGCCAGGCUGUCUCCACCCGAGACUCAGUGAAAUUGAACUCGCUGUGAAGAUGCAGUGUACCCGCGGCAAGACGGAAAGACCCCGUGAACCUUUACUAUAGCUUGACACUGAACAUUGAGCCUUGAUGUGUAGGAUAGGUGGGAGGCUUAGAAGUGUGGACGCCAGUCUGCAUGGAGCCGACCUUGAAAUACCACCCUUUAAUGUUUGAUGUUCUAACGUUGACCCGUGAUCCGGGUUGCGGACAGUGUCUGGUGGGUAGUUUGACUGGGGCGGUCUCCUCCUAAAGAGUAACGGAGGAGCACGAAGGUUGGCUAAUCCUGGUCGGACAUCAGGAGGUUAGUGCAAUGGCAUAAGCCAGCUUGACUGCGAGCGUGACGGCGCGAGCAGGUGCGAAAGCAGGUCAUAGUGAUCCGGUGGUUCUGAAUGGAAGGGCCAUCGCUCAACGGAUAAAAGGUACUCCGGGGAUAACAGGCUGAUACCGCCCAAGAGUUCAUAUCGACGGCGGUGUUUGGCACCUCGAUGUCGGCUCAUCACAUCCUGGGGCUGAAGUAGGUCCCAAGGGUAUGGCUGUUCGCCAUUUAAAGUGGUACGCGAGCUGGGUUUAGAACGUCGUGAGACAGUUCGGUCCCUAUCUGCCGUGGGCGCUGGAGAACUGAGGGGGGCUGCUCCUAGUACGAGAGGACCGGAGUGGACGCAUCACUGGUGUUCGGGUUGUCAUGCCAAUGGCACUGCCCGGUAGCUAAAUGCGGAAGAGAUAAGUGCUGAAAGCAUCUAAGCACGAAACUUGCCCCGAGAUGAGUUCUCCCUGACUCCUUGAGAGUCCUGAAGGAACGUUGAAGACGACGACGUUGAUAGGCCGGGUGUGUAAGCGCAGCGAUGCGUUGAGCUAACCGGUACUAAUGAACCGUGAGGCUUAACCUUACAACGCCGAAGCUGUU
rnacentral:rRNA from 1 species